rnacentral:rRNA from 1 species
UACAGAGGUGGCAAGCGUUGUUCGGAAUUACUGGGCGUAAAGGGCGAGUAGGUGGCCAUCUAAGUCAGACGUGAAAUCCCCCGGCUUAACCUGGGAACUGCAUCCGAAACUGUCUGGCUAGAAUGUGGUAGAGGGAGGUGGAAUUCCAGGUGUAGCGGUGAAAUGCGUAGAUAUCGGGAGGAACAUCAGUGGCGAAGGCGGCUACCUGGCCCAAUACUGACACUCAGGUGCGACGAGCGUGGGGAGCAAACAGG